UGCAUGUGACCUUGUGCCACAGCGGGAAUCUUGACUACCACACAAAUUAAUCCACUCAAAUGUUGGCAAGUGGAGCAGAGUCCCAGGACAGGUACAGAAACACCCCCAGUUCAAGGAUCUUCACACCUGGAUUUAGGCCUACACCUGCAACUACCCCAGUUGUAGAGGGUGAUGCUGCUGGCGGCUCCCUCCCAAUCAGCACCAUUUGCAGCCUCUUUUGAAGACAGAGAACUGAGGGCUGUCCUUCGAGUGGAGCAGUGUGAUUCCAAAAAAAGAGAUGCUCCUUGUGGUCCUGGGACCAGGGAUAGGACUCCAGUUGAGCCUGGUGGAAGAGGUCCUCAUCCUAGCCCAACGGAGAGCCAUGCAGCUGAGCUUGGGCGAUGUGGUCCACGUGGUUGUUUCUGAGUGUGUCCUGAGGUUCCUGGAUGGCUUGCAGUUCCCUAUGCAGAUCCAAUGCAUUUUUUGCUUUUUUGCUUCUACAACCUGGAAUUUAUAUGUUCAAG
ensembl:lncRNA FAM66C family with sequence similarity 66 member C